rnacentral:piRNA from 1 species
ACACAAGCUAGUGUCAUAGGAUAAGACA